rnacentral:rRNA from 1 species
AGCUUGCUGCUUCGCUGACGAGUGGCGGACGGGUGAGUAAUGUCUGGGAAACUGCCUGAUGGAGGGGGAUAACUACUGGAAACGGUGGCUAAUACCGCAUAACGUCGCAAGACCAAAGAGGGGGACCUUCGGGCCUCUUGCCAUCAGAUGUGCCCAGAUGGGAUUAGCUUGUUGGUGAGGUAACGGCUCACCAAGGCGACGAUCCCUAGCUGGUCUGAGAGGAUGACCAGCCACACUGGAACUGAGACACGGUCCAGACUCCUACGGGAGGCAGCAGUGGGGAAUAUUGCACAAUGGGCGCAAGCCUGAUGCAGCCAUGCCGCGUGUAUGAAGAAGGCCUUCGGGUUGUAAAGUACUUUCAGCGGGGAGGAAGGUGUUGUGGUUAAUAACCGCAGCAAUUGUCGUUACCCGCAGAAGAAGCACCGGCUAACUCCGUGCCAGCAGCCGCGGUAAUACGGAGGGUGCAAGCGUUAAUCGGAAUUACUGGGCGUAAAGCGCACGCAGGCGGUCUGUCAAGUCGGAUGUGAAAUCCCCGGGCUCAACCUGGGAACUGCAUUCGAAACUGGCAGGCUUGAGUCUUGUAGAGGGGGGUAG